CACUUAUAUGUUAUUUUAGCUCAUAUAAUAUCAGGAAUAUGGCCUGAAAGUCUCUACCAAACAACCGUAAAUUGUUUGACUAUGAGUGAAAUGCACAGUUCA
rnacentral:ncRNA from 2 species